rnacentral:rRNA from 1 species
AUUGAACGCUGGCGGCAGGCUUAACACAUGCAAGUCGAGCGGGGGAAGGUAGCUUGCUACCGGACCUAGCGGCGGACGGGUGAGUAAUGCUUAGGAAUCUGCCUAUUAGUGGGGGACAACAUCUCGAAAGGGAUGCUAAUACCGCAUACGUCCUACGGGAGAAAGCAGGGGAUCUUCGGACCUUGCGCUUAUAGAUGAGCCUAGGUCGGAUUAGCUAGUUGGUGGGGUAAAGGCCUACCAAGGCGACGAUCUGUAGCGGGUCUGAGAGGAUGAUCCGCCACACUGGGACUGAGACACGGCCCAGACUCCUACGGGAGGCAGCAGUGGGGAAUAUUGGACAAUGGGGGGAACCCUGAUCCGGCCAUGCCGCGUGUGUGAAGAAGGCCUUAUGGUUGUAAAGCACUUUAAGCGAGGAGGAGGCUACUCUAGUUAAUACCUAGGGAUAGUGGACGUUACUCGCAGAAUAAGCACCGGCUAACUCUGUGCCAGCCGCCGCCGUAA